rnacentral:rRNA from 1 species
CAGCAGCCACGGGAAUACGGAGGGUGCAAGCGUUAAUCGGAAUUACUGGGCGUAAAGCGCACGCAGGCGGUCUGACAAGUCAGAUGUGAAAUCCCCGGGCUCAACCUGGGAACUGCAUUUGAAACUGGCAAGCUAGAGUCUCGUAGAGGGGGGUAGAAUUCCAGGUGUAGCGGUGAAAUGCGUAGAGAUCUGGAGGAAUACCGGUGGCGAAGGCGGCCCCCUGGACGAAGACUGACGCUCAGGUGCGAAAGCGUGGGGAGCAAACAGGAUUAGAUACCCCUGUAGUCCCUGUCUCUUAUAC